rnacentral:rRNA from 1 species
AGAGUUUGAUCCUGGCUCAGAAUGAACGCUGGCGGCGUGCUUAACACAUGCAAGUCGAGCGAGAAAGCUCCUUCGGGAGUGAGUAAAGCGGCGGACGAGUGAGUAAUACGUGAGAACCUGCCCUUUAGUGAAGAAUAUCCUCGAGAAAUUGAGGUUAAUACUGCAUAAGUCCCUACGGGGAGAAAGGCAACUUUAUGUUG